CGCUCAAAGGCAAAACUCAAGGUGGCGAUUUUGUUGGCACAAUUAUCUCAAUGUUGGGGCAAGCUCGGCUUGCUCUUUAGCUCAACUUUUCUUCUUUUAUGAAAGAUAAUAGCUAAAGAUUACUAAAAUGUUUGUGGUCAACUGGUUUUGGGAUUUUCUUAGUUUCUUUACUUCGAAAACUGCAAAGAUUGUGUUUCUGGGUCUUGAUAAUGCUGGAAAAACUACACUUCUUCAUUUACUUAAAAAUAAUCAUCUUACACAGCAUACGCCAACUUUAUACUGCACUAAGGAAGAGUUAAGCAUCGGCAAUAUUCGAUUUCAAACGUACGACUUGGGCGGGCACGAGCAAGCCAGAAGAGUCUGGCGCGACUAUUUUCCUAAUAUUGACGCAGUUGUGUUUAUGGUAGACGCCGCUCAGCGUGAUCGCCUAAAAGAAGCUCAACUGGAACUCUACAGGCUUCUCUCCGAUGAAGAAUUAUCUAAAGUUCCCGUAUUAGUUUUAGGAAAUAAAAUUGAUGAGCGGAGCGCCUGCAGCGAAGAGGAAUUCCGCCAAUUAAUGGGAAUUGCCCACCUCGUGCCGUACGAUAAAUCCUCUGCGGUCCCUGAAGGUGUGAGGCCCCUUCAAGUAUUUAUGUGUUCAUUAAAAAAACGGCAGGGCUACGGCGAAGGUUUUCGUUGGUUAUCACGAC